GUGCCAGCAGCCGCGGUAAUACAGAGGGUGCGAGCGUUGUCCGGAAUCACUGGGCGUAAAGGGCGCGUAGGUGGCGGGAUAAGCGUGCGGUGAAAGCCCGGGGCUCAACCCCGGGUCGGCCGUGCGGACUGUCUUGCUCGAGCAUAGUAGAGGCAGGUGGAAUUCCGGGUGUAGCGGUGGAAUGCGUAGAGAUCCGGAAGAACACCGGUGGCGAAGGCGGCCUGCUGGGCUAUUGCUGACACUGAGGCGCGACAGCGUGGGGAGCAAACAGGAUUAGAAACCCCAGUAGUCC
rnacentral:rRNA from 1 species